rnacentral:snoRNA from 1 species
UCAUGGCUGAAUACUGUGUUCUUUUAUCAGUAGUUUACACAGCCAAACACCAUGCAAAAAUAUAGUCUUCUCUUCAAAACUGUUAUGCUGGUAUGCUGUUUUCUUCACAGCAUAUUAUUAUUAAAGGCGAAUACAAAU